rnacentral:rRNA from 1 species
UAAGGAAUAUUGGUCAAUGGACGCAAGUCUGAACCAGCCAUGCCGCGUGGAGGAUGAAGGUCCUCUGGAUUGUAAACUUCUUUUAUCUGGGACGAAACACUUCUUUUCUAAGAGGCCUGACGGUACCAGAUGAAUAAGCACCGGCUAACUCCGUGCCAGCAGCCGCGGUAAUACGGAGGGUGCAAGCGUUAUCCGGAUUCACUGGGUUUAAAGGGUGCGUAGGUGGGUAUGUAAGUCAGUGGUGAAAUCCCCGAGCUUAACUUGGGAACUGCCAUUUAUACUAUAUAUCUUGAAUACCGUAGAGGUAAGCGGAAUAUGUCAUGUAGCGGUGAAAUGCUUAGAUAUGACAUGGAACACCAAUUGCGAAGGCAGCUUACGAUGCGGUGAUUGACGCUGAGGCACGAAAGCGUGGGUAGCAAACA